UAGGUUGUCAUCGUGUCCCAGAAGGUCCUUGUAUUGAUGGAUCCCAUGGGAAACGAAAACAGCUAUGUUUCGAAAGUGCAGCGGAACUUGAAUAUUUUCCUGAGGAUGUACAAGACGGAGGAACUAGCAGCACACUGGAGCACGUGGUUCAUGUUUCAUAGCAACCAGCAGGAUUCCAGUAGCUGUGGAGUUUUAAUUUUGAUGUUUGCAAAGGAGUUCCUCUGUACACAAACAAUCUCUGAAGUCAAGACAUCUCAGGAAAGUAUAAGGGCUGCACGAAUGGAAAUAGCUUGUGCCCUACUACAGUAAAAAGGUGGGGCGUGAGUCGCAUCCGGAUGGCCCAUCUGUUUGUCCCGUUUUGGGUCAACGGUGAAGAGCACUGCGUCCUGCGGCGGAGGAGGGAGCUGAAGCAUGCAAGAUCCUUACGCAAAAGGUAGAGUAUUGAAUGUUAAUGUGUUUUUCACAACCUGUAAGCUCCUUUUACAGCCAUUGAUUCCGUGUGAAUACAAGUAGCCGGCGGAUUCUCUAACAAUGUGCUUUUUUUUCUUUUUGGGUCAACGGUGACGAGCACUGCGUCCUGCGGCGGCGGAGGAGGGAGAUGA